UAUAAAAUAGUCACUUACUACAGUACUAAAACAAUUAUUUACGUUUUUGAGUGAAUAGGUAGGUUUAAUAAGCAGCAUGCCAUAUAAGAUAUUAAACAAUUUGUAAUUGACGUUUUAUGCUUCGGCUGAUAACUUUGUUCAGACCAACUGGCCAGGGUGCAUUGGGCUAUUCCAUUUAAUAUCCGUACCCAACUCCCUGUCGAGGAUCCCUGGAAUUCUUCAGGGGUAAAGUGUUUUGAGCUUGGAAUUCUUCAGGGGUAAAGUGUUUUGAGUUUGGAAUUCUUCAGGGGUGAAGGGUUUUGAGCUUGGAAUUCUUCAGGGUUAAAAGGUUUUGAGCUUGGAAUUCUUCAGGGGUAAGGAGUUUUGAACUUGGAAUUUUGGAAUUCUUCAGGGGUAAAAGGUUUUGAGCUUGGAAUUCUUCAGGGGUAUAACCAUGAAAAACAUGUAUCCUCGACAGGGGGUGUACGGAUAUUAAAUGGAAUAGCC